rnacentral:rRNA from 1 species
GGUUAAGCGACUAAGCGUACACGGUGGAUGCCCUGGCAGUCAGAGGCGAUGAAGGACGUGCUAAUCUGCGAUAAGCGUCGGUAAGGUGAUAUGAACCGUUAUAACCGGCGAUUUCCGAAUGGGGAAACCCAGUGUGUUUCGACACACUAUCAUUAACUGAAUCCAUAGGUUAAUGAGGCGAACCGGGGGAACUGAAACAUCUAAGUACCCCGAGGAAAAGAAAUCAACCGAGAUUCCCCCAGUAGCGGCGAGCGAACGGGGAGCAGCCCAGAGCCUGAAUCAGUGUGUGUGUUAGUGGAAGCGUCUGGAAAGGCGCGCGAUACAGGGUGACAGCCCCGUACACAAAAAUGCACAUGCUGUGAGCUCGAUGAGUAGGGCGGGACACGUGGUAUCCUGUCUGAAUAUGGGGGGACCAUCCUCCAAGGCUAAAUACUCCUGACUGACCGAUAGUGAACCAGUACCGUGAGGGAAAGGCGAAAAGAACCCCGGCGAGGGGAGUGAAAAAGAACCUGAAACCGUGUACGUACAAGCAGUGGGAGCACGCUUAGGCGUGUGACUGCGUACCUUUUGUAUAAUGGGUCAGCGACUUAUAUUCUGUAGCAAGGUUAACCGAAUAGGGGAGCCGAAGGGAAACCGAGUCUUAACUGGGCGUUAAGUUGCAGGGUAUAGACCCGAAACCCGGUGAUCUAGCCAUGGGCAGGUUGAAGGUUGGGUAACACUAACUGGAGGACCGAACCGACUAAUGUUGAAAAAUUAGCGGAUGACUUGUGGCUGGGGGUGAAAGGCCAAUCAAACCGGGAGAUAGCUGGUUCUCCCCGAAAGCUAUUUAGGUAGCGCCUCGUGAAUUCAUCUCCGGGGGUAGAGCACUGUUUCGGCAAGGGGGUCAUCCCGACUUACCAACCCGAUGCAAACUGCGAAUACCGGAGAAUGUUAUCACGGGAGACACACGGCGGGUGCUAACGUCCGUCGUGAAGAGGGAAACAACCCAGACCGCCAGCUAAGGUCCCAAAGUCAUGGUUAAGUGGGAAACGAUGUGGGAAGGCCCAGACAGCCAGGAUGUUGGCUUAGAAGCAGCCAUCAUUUAAAGAAAGCGUAAUAGCUCACUGGUCGAGUCGGCCUGCGCGGAAGAUGUAACGGGGCUAAACCAUGCACCGAAGCUGCGGCAGCGACGCUGAUGCGUUGUUGGGUAGGGGAGCGUUCUGUAAGCCUGCGAAGGUGUGCUGUGAGGCAUGCUGGAGGUAUCAGAAGUGCGAAUGCUGACAUAAGUAACGAUAAAGCGGGUGAAAAGCCCGCUCGCCGGAAGACCAAGGGUUCCUGUCCAACGUUAAUCGGGGCAGGGUGAGUCGACCCCUAAGGCGAGGCCGAAAGGCGUAGUCGAUGGGAAACAGGUUAAUAUUCCUGUACUUGGUGUUACUGCGAAGGGGGGACGGAGAAGGCUAUGUUGGCCGGGCGACGGUUGUCCCGGUUUAAGCGUGUAGGCUGGUUUUCCAGGCAAAUCCGGAAAAUCAAGGCUGAGGCGUGAUGACGAGGCACUACGGUGCUGAAGCAACAAAUGCCCUGCUUCCAGGAAAAGCCUCUAAGCAUCAGGUAACAUCAAAUCGUACCCCAAACCGACACAGGUGGUCAGGUAGAGAAUACCAAGGCGCUUGAGAGAACUCGGGUGAAGGAACUAGGCAAAAUGGUGCCGUAACUUCGGGAGAAGGCACGCUGAUAUGUAGGUGAAGCGACUUGCUCGUGGAGCUGAAAUCAGUCGAAGAUACCAGCUGGCUGCAACUGUUUAUUAAAAACACAGCACUGUGCAAACACGAAAGUGGACGUAUACGGUGUGACGCCUGCCCGGUGCCGGAAGGUUAAUUGAUGGGGUUAGCGCAAGCGAAGCUCUUGAUCGAAGCCCCGGUAAACGGCGGCCGUAACUAUAACGGUCCUAAGGUAGCGAAAUUCCUUGUCGGGUAAGUUCCGACCUGCACGAAUGGCGUAAUGAUGGCCAGGCUGUCUCCACCCGAGACUCAGUGAAAUUGAACUCGCUGUGAAGAUGCAGUGUACCCGCGGCAAGACGGAAAGACCCCGUGAACCUUUACUAUAGCUUGACACUGAACAUUGAGCCUUGAUGUGUAGGAUAGGUGGGAGGCUUUGAAGUGUGGACGCCAGUCUGCAUGGAGCCGACCUUGAAAUACCACCCUUUAAUGUUUGAUGUUCUAACGUUGACCCGUAAUCCGGGUUGCGGACAGUGUCUGGUGGGUAGUUUGACUGGGGCGGUCUCCUCCUAAAGAGUAACGGAGGAGCACGAAGGUUGGCUAAUCCUGGUCGGACAUCAGGAGGUUAGUGCAAUGGCAUAAGCCAGCUUGACUGCGAGCGUGACGGCGCGAGCAGGUGCGAAAGCAGGUCAUAGUGAUCCGGUGGUUCUGAAUGGAAGGGCCAUCGCUCAACGGAUAAAAGGUACUCCGGGGAUAACAGGCUGAUACCGCCCAAGAGUUCAUAUCGACGGCGGUGUUUGGCACCUCGAUGUCGGCUCAUCACAUCCUGGGGCUGAAGUAGGUCCCAAGGGUAUGGCUGUUCGCCAUUUAAAGUGGUACGCGAGCUGGGUUUAGAACGUCGUGAGACAGUUCGGUCCCUAUCUGCCGUGGGCGCUGGAGAACUGAGGGGGGCUGCUCCUAGUACGAGAGGACCGGAGUGGACGCAUCACUGGUGUUCGGGUUGUCAUGCCAAUGGCACUGCCCGGUAGCUAAAUGCGGAAGAGAUAAGUGCUGAAAGCAUCUAAGCACGAAACUUGCCCCGAGAUGAGUUCUCCCUGACUCCUUGAGAGUCCUGAAGGAACGUUGAAGACGACGACGUUGAUAGGCCGGGUGUGUAAGCGCAGCGAUGCGUUGAGCUAACCGGUACUAAUGAACCGUGAGGCUUAACCUU